rnacentral:rRNA from 1 species
GAUUUCUGGUUUGGUGCGCCUGGCCCACUGCCUUCAGGUAUGUGAGUGCCGGUGCGCGCCUGCCAUCCCUUCUAGAGAACGGCUCUGCCCUUCACUGGUGUCGGAGUCGCGAUCUAGAUCUUUUACUUUGAAAAAAUUAGAGUGUUUAAAGCAGGCUUUUGCUAUGAAUACAUUAGCAUGGAAUAAUAAUCUAGGACUUCGGUUCUAUUUUGUUGGUUUCUAUAACUGAAGUAAUGAUUGAUAGGGAUAGUUGGGGGUGCUAGUAUUGGCCGGCCAGAGGUGAAAUUCUUGGAUUCGGUCAAGACUAACUUAUGCGAAAGCAUU